rnacentral:tRNA from 1 species
GGAGCGGUAUCGAAGUGGUCAUAACGGGGCUGACUCGAAAUCAGUUUGCGGGCAACCGCACGUGGGUUCGAAUCCCACCCGCUCCGCCA